rnacentral:rRNA from 1 species
GACGAACGCUGGCGGCAGGCCUAACACAUGCAAGUCGAGCGCCCCGCAAGGGGAGCGGCAGACGGGUGAGUAACGCGUGGGAACGUACCCUUUGCUACGGAAUAGCUCCGGGAAACUGGAAUUAAUACCGUAUGUGCCCUACGGGGGAAAGAUUUAUCGGCAAAGGAUCGGCCCGCGUUGGAUUAGCUAGUUGGUGGGGUAAUGGCCUACCAAGGCGACGAUCCAUAGCUGGUCUGAGAGGAGGAUCAGCCACAUUGGGACUGAGACACGGCCCAAACUCCUACGGGAGGCAGCAGUGGGGAAUAUUGGACAAUGGGCGCAAGCCUGAUCCAGCCAUGCCGCGUGAGUGAUGAAGGCCUUAGGGUUGUAAAGCUCUUUCACCGGAGAAGAUAAUGACGGUAUCCGGAGAAGAAGCCCCGGCUAACUUCGUGCCAGCCGCCGCGGUAAGAC